rnacentral:misc_RNA from 1 species
GCACUAGAAUAGCUAAAGGACAAACCGCUGCUUGUCUGCCCAUUCUCGUAAGGACAGCUACAUAAUAUCUCUUGUAACCAAGAUGGCCAAGCUAACAGGUGGCAUGAUUUUAUUAACUGCGGCUUGUGUGUAAUCCAAACUUUUAAACCACACAAACAGAUUGAUAAAACCAAUUAAACUAAACGUUUAUAUCUCAAGGAAAGGAGGCGGUUCUAAAGGGACAUCCUAUCUUUAAUUUCCGUUUCUGAUCACCUUUACCAUACCAUCUGCUCAAGGG